rnacentral:piRNA from 1 species
AAGAUGAUUGGUGUUCUUAU